GUAGACCAAGUAAUAUUUCAAAAGCGGCUCCAGCAGCGUCUACGAAAAAAUCCUAGAUUCCCCAAUAUAAUCCAGGAAUUUAUAUCUGCACUGGAAACAUACAUUGAAGACCCAGAGAGAUUCAGAAACUGCCUGCUGCCUUGCGUGCCAUCAUCCACUUCACAGCAGGAUACCAAUUCUGGCUGCUAUCAGGAAAGUCUUGUACGCCUGUUGCUUGGAAUAGAGAUGCUACAG